rnacentral:tRNA from 1 species
GCUUCUGUAGUGUAGUUCGGCCAAACUUAGUUAAAUACUAAUUAAGGACGAAGCAUGCGUGGCUUUCACCCUCGUGACCCGGGUUCGAAUCCCGGCAGAAGCA